GGGGUCUUCAACCAGAGAUUGGAAUAGAUCUCGAUCGGCGUCUUCACCCUGCUUAGACCUCGGGGUGGGGGUGCUAUGAGAAGUCAGAAGUUAGCAGGGUAAGGGCACCAUUGCCCGAGGGCGCCAUUAAGGGGGAGCAGGUCGCGCCCGCGGGUGAGCCGGCCACGUGACACCCAAGGCCCGCCACCACGUGGGCCGGACUGGGCGGUGCAGCUCCCUCUCGCCCCGCGGCCCCACCCCCGGUGGGGGAGCCCCGACUGCAGUUCCCGCGGCCCUUCACGGGGACAGGUGAGGGCUCGCCGGUGCGCAGGGCCCCUCCUCUUCGGCGUCUCCCAGAUGGGUGACUCUGAACUGCCCUAGGACUGCGGACUGGCUGGGUGUGGGUCACAGACAUGGCCCAGCCGCUGGCCUUUGACCUCAAUAUCCCCGAGACCCCGGAGGAUCAGGGCAGCCAGGAGCCCAGCCCCUAUGAUGAGAGCGACGUGCACGACUCCUUCCACCAGAUCAUCCAGGAGCAGACCCAGUGGGCGGCCGCGCAGGCGCUGGAGCUGCAGCCGAGGGAGCCGGGCGCCGGAACCCAGGAGGCCUCAGGCAGUGCCAAGGGUGCCCCUGUCCAUAGCUCGGCCACACUCCGCAUCUUGGCCAGCAUGCCCAGUCGUACCAUUGGCCGCAGCCGGGGGGCCAUCAUCUCCCAGUACUACGGCCGCACGGUGAGGCUGCGGCGCAGGACGGGCCGGCCCCGGCUCGGGGGCUCAGGGCGCUCAGCCCGGCCCAGCCUCCGCCUGUACGACCUGGAGCUGGACUCGGCGACCCUCCAGGAGGAGGAGAGGCAGAUGCUCCUGGUGAGGGAGCUUCAAAGCCUGACAGUGACCCAGCGAGACCACAUGCUCCGGGGGAUGCCCUUGAGCCUGGCUGAGAAACGCUGCCUGCGAGAGAAGAGCCAGACCCCAAGGGGGAAGCGGAGGGGCUGGCGGGGCCAUCGAGGGCUCGGCUGCUGGAGCUGGCUCCGGGACACCUGUGUCCUGGCCUUGCACAACCUGGGGCUCCGGCUGCUCUGGGGGCUGCACGCCCUGAGGCCGUGGCGCUACUCCCUGAAGCGGAUCGGGGGCCAGUUCGGCUCCAGCGUGCUCUCCUACUUCCUCUUCCUCAAGACCCUGCUGGCCUUCAAUGCCCUGCUGCUGCUGCCGCUGCUGGCCUUCAUCGUGGGCGUGCAGGCUGCCUUCCCGCCCGCCCCCACGGGCCCUGGGCCUGCCUUCACGGGGCUGGAGCUUCUCACCGGCGGGGGCUCCUUCUCCCACACUGUCAUGUACUACGGCUACUACAGGAAUGCCACGCUGAACCAGCCCUGUGCCCCACUGCUGGAUGGCAGCCAGUGCACCCCUGAGGCACACGGCCUGCCUUAUAACAUGCCCCUGGCCUACCUCUUCACUGUGGGCAUGGUCUUCUUUAUCACCUGCAUCACCCUGGUGUACAGCAUGUCGCGCUCUUUUGGGGAGAGCUACCGGGUGGGCAGCACCCUGGGGGUCCACGCCAUCACUGUUUUCUGCUCCUGGGACUACAAGGUGACUCAGAAGUGGGCGUCCCGCCUCCAGCAUGACAGCAUCCGGACCCAGCUGAAGGCUCACUGCCACUUGCAGGAGCUGCUGGCUGAGUGGCAGCUGCGGCAGGGCCCCCGGAGCGCGUGCGGGCGGCUGCGGCAGGUGGCUGUGCUGGUGCUCGUGUGGCUGCUGUGUCUCGGAACCACGCUGGGCUGUGCCGUGGCCGUCUACGCCUUCUCUGAGCUUCUGACCCAGCAGAGCCCCGUGUCGGCUGAGCGGGAGGGGGCCCUGCUGGCCCUGCCCCUGGUGGUCUGCCUUCUCAACCUGGGGGCCCCCUACCUAUUCCGUGGCCUGGCCGCCCUGGAGCGGCACGACUCCCCGGGGCUGGAGGUGUACGUGGCCAUCUGCAGGAACCUCAUCCUCAAGAUGGUCAUCCUGGGGAUCCUCUGCUAUCACUGGCUGGGCCGCAGGGUGGGCGCCCUGAAGGACCAGUGCUGGGAGAAUUUCGUGGGCCAGGAGCUAUACCGGCUCACGGUGGUGGACUUCCUCUUCAUGCUGCUGGACACGCUGUUUGGGGAGCUGCUGUGGAGGCUCAUCUCUGAGAAGAAGUUUAAGAGGAGGGGCAAGCCUGAGUUUGACAUUGCCCGGAAUGUUCUGGAUCUGAUUUAUGGGCAGACCCUGACCUGGCUGGGGGUCCUGUUCUCACCCCUCCUCCCUGCUGUGCAGUUAAUCAAGCUGCUGUUCCUCUUCUAUGUCAAGAAGACCAGCCUGCUGGCCAACUGCCGGGCGCCCCGCAGGCCCUGGCUGGCUUCCCGCAUGAGCACCGUCUUCGUCUCGCUGCUCUGCUUCCCCUCCUUCCUGGGUGCCGCCAUCUUCCUCUGCUACGCCAUCUGGCAGGUGAAGCCCUCAAGCACCUGCGGCCCCUUCCGGGGCCUGGACACCAUGUACGAGGCGGGCAAGUUGUGGGUGCGCCGCCUGGAGAAGGCGGGCCCCAGGGUCUCCUGGCUGCCGUGGGUCCACCAGCACCUGGUGGAGAAUACCUUCCUCACCUACCUGGCGUCAGCCCUGCUGCUGGCCGUCAUCUACCUCAACAUCCAGGUGGUGAAGGGCCAGCGGAAGGUCAUCUGCCUCCUCAAGGAGCACAUCAGCAAUUUCGCACUGUGUGCUGAAUGCUGAGCCGCCUUGGGGGCCGGCUGUGCCCGAGGGCCCCCGGGCACCCCCACAGGGACCCGGCCACAGCUCUCCCCCAGCUGUACCUCCCGGUGGACCGCUGCCUUAGAGAGGCCUUGCGGGCUGGGUGCAGGGUGUCAGCCCGGGCAGGACGGGGCUGGGGUGCAGCAAGCGUGGGACCUGCUGCUGGCUGAUUGGGGCGGGGUCAGCUCUCCUCAGGCAGGAAAAUCCCUAAGGACAGCUCCCCCUUUUUAUGGGGUUAUGAGUAAUGCAGUACAAGUUAUCCUGUCUCCCUUUCACAAUGGUGAAAUGUGCCUUGCCAAGAACCCAGGGAGCAGAGCUCAAGCCGGGCAUUUUGGCUGAGGAGGUUGCCCUGGAAGCAGGUUUUUGCCAACUGGCUCUCGCCCUGCUGUGUGGUGCUUCAGGGGUGUGGGUGGGGUGGUGGGUGUAUACAAGCAUCGGGAGAAUUCCAGCUCCCUGCGCCAUUUCUCUGGGAACCGACAGGCUGUUUUCCAGGUGGGCUCUUGCUACAGAUGGUGCCCACCCACGGCUGAGCCCUGCCCCAGAUCCGAGUCCUUGGGGCUGCAGGUCUCAGCUCAGCCAGCUCCUGGGUGGCUUUCGCUAGCUGGGCAGGGAGGCGCUUGGGGGCACAGCCCUCUGUACCCACCUACAGCCCAGGGAGGUCACUUAAGGAGGCCCUUCCCUGCAGACAGUCUGAGACACCCUCCUGGGCAAGCCGCGGUCGCAGGUGCGCAGGACACAUCCUGACAGUCGCUCUGCUCUCUCUGUGACGACUCACUGCAGGGAAUCCAGUCUGGCCCCGGGAUUGACAGUCGCCCAAAUCCACCUGGUGGUUAUGUGCACCGGUUACUAGGCUCACCGCUUUGUGUGCUUUUCACACUCAGUUGUUGAAGGAGCCCUGGGUCGGCCAGUACCACCCUCAGAAGCAUCCUCAUCCUAAUCUUGGCAGCUGUGAAUAUGCCAUGUUAGGUGGCAAAGGGGGAUUAGGGUUGCAGGUGGAAUUAAAGUUGGCAGCCAGCUGCCCUAGAGAUGGGGAGGUAUCCUGGACCGUCUGGGUGGCACUGUGUGAUCGCGGGUCCUUCCAAGUGGAGGAGGGAGGCGGGAGAGUCAGUGUCGAGGGUCGUGCUGGGAGAAAGACUCGAGGCCACCACCGGCUCUGAGGAUGGGAAGGGCUGCGAGCCAAGGGACACAGGCCUCCAGACGGUGGGACAGGCAAGGAAAGAUGCUCCCCCAGAAGGGACCAGCCUGUGGAUACCUUGGUUUUAGCUCAGUGAGACCUUAUUUUGGACUUCUGACCACCAGAACUGAAAGAUGGAUUUGUGUUGUUUUAGAGCCACUAAGUUUGUGAUAAUUGGUUAGAGCCACAAAACAAACCAAUAUAAGCCUGUGAUGCAGACAUUUUUAUCCCCCUUUUACAGAUGGUGACUCGGGUUAGAUAGAAGGUAACUUGUCUAAGGCAGAGUUAAUAAGCGGCAGGGCAGGUUUUAAAUUGAGUCAGGCUGGCUAUGUGGCCCUCCCUGUGUGGCUUAUUACAUUUCUCUUUUUACUUUGGCCACUAGGAAGCUCAAGUCUAUCCAAUCACCUAUCUACCUACCUACCCAUCUCUCUAUCAUCUUUUUAUCUAUAUGCCACUCCCUGGCUCCCUUAUCCUUGUUUGGUGCCUCUUUCCUAUGAUGUCGGAUAUUCCUUGUGAGCUCCCCCAAAUGCAGCCUGGAACAGGACAGUUCUGGACGGAUGGGCCAUUUCUCUCACCCUUUGCGUUCUGGCUUUUCUAGGAGGGGGAAGACAAAAUCUUCUUAAUCAACAAACUUCACUCUGUCUACGAGAGGAAGGAGAGGAGCCGGGCUGGGAGAACCCAGGAGGCCAUGAAGCUCGUGGACGAUCGUGAGGCCUUCUAGGAUGGUGAAGGGCCAGCAGCCCUGUGUCUGCCCACCAGCAUGCUCUGCGCCCCCUCCCCCUGUUCCGGCA